AGGCCUUGUGAUGAGAACUGAUUGUUAUAUCUCAUGUCGGUCAUCUGAGACACUCAUAAUGGUGUAUAGAAUGAUGAUAAAACUCCAAUCUCUGAUGACU